AGAAAAUAGAGGCCGAAAUUAUCUUCGAAGCCUCAUUAGUUUGAAUCUUACAGUACAGUAGAUAUAUAACAUUGUGAUGCCUGCUCAAUGAAAAUCGAUCUUUACAGCCGCGGAAAAUAGUCCAGGCUUGCCAAUCAUUGUUUCCAUUCCCAGUUGCAAAGCCAUGGACAGCCAAGAAAGGUAAAAUUAGCAUUACAGCUUGAUGGUUGGAUCACAAAUCUCAAGAAGCAAUCACCCACUGCCUCUAUAUCUUCUGUUUAAGGACAUGCCGCAAUUG
rnacentral:misc_RNA from 1 species